rnacentral:lncRNA from 1 species
AGGAGCAUACAUUCACAUAAGACCAAGAGCUUAGAUACAGAGACUUACCUUCGCAGCUUCACAAGAACUUCUCCUUUUGAUUCUAGUUCCCUCUGUUUUCUUGAUUGAGAUUUUCUUUUGCUUAUCCAAUGCUCUUGCAGGCGCGAGAAGGUUGAAUGGGAAGUUCACGGAUGACAACCAAGGUUAAAGCAAUCGGUUCUCUUUUGCUCUCGCCGUGAGGUCUCUU